UCGUGAUCCUUUGUUGAGUACGUAUUUCAUUAGAAAAAUUGGUACCCGCCUGCGGGAUUCGGACACCGUUGCAUCGCUUCAACAAGAAUGCACCGGACGUCUUAUCC
rnacentral:scRNA from 1 species